UGGGGAAUCUUGCACAAUGGGGGCAACCCUGAUGCAGCGACGCCGCGUGAGCGAUGAAGCCCUUCGGGGCGUAAAGCUCUUUCGACCGGAACGAUAAUGACGGUACCGGGAGAAGAAGCUGCGGCUAACUACGUGCCAGCAGCCGCGGUAAUACGUAGGGGGCUAGCGUUGUCCGGAAUUACUGGGCGUAAAGCGCGCGUAGGCGGUCCACCAAGUCGGGGGUGAAAGCCCGGGGCUCAACCCCGGAAUGUCCUCCGAGACUGUUGGACUGGAGUUCGGGAGAGGAGAGCGGAAUUCCCAGUGUAGAGGUGAAAUUCGUAGAUAUUGGGAAGAACACCGGUGGCGAAGGCGGCUCUCUGGCCCGCAACUGACGCUGAGGCGCGAAAGCGUGGGGAGCAAACA
rnacentral:rRNA from 1 species